GACGAACGCUGGCGGCGUGCUUAACACAUGCAAGUCGAACGGAAAGGCCCUGCUUUUGUGGGGUGCUCGAGUGGCGAACGGGUGAGUAACACGUGAGUAACCUGCCCUUGACUUUGGGAUAACUUCAGGAAACUGGGGCUAAUACCGGAUAGGAGCUCCUGCUGCAUGGUGGGGGUUGGAAAGUUUCGGCGGUUGGGGAUGGACUCGCGGCUUAUCAGCUUGUUGGUGGGGUAGUGGCUUACCAAGGCUUUGACGGGUAGCCGGCCUGAGAGGGUGACCGGCCACAAUGGGACUGAGGUACGGCCCAGACUCCUACGGGAAGCAACAGUGGGGAAUAUUGCACAAUGGGCGGAAGCCUGAUGCAGCAACGCCGGGUUCGGGAUGACCGCCUUCGGGGUGUAAACCGCUUUCGCCUUUGACGAAGCGGGAGUGACGGUAAUUGGUAAAGAAGCACCGGCUAACUACGUG
rnacentral:rRNA from 1 species